AGGGUCAUAGCUCAGUAGUAGAUCAUCUGCUUUGCAUGCAGCAAGUCCUAGGUUCAAUCCCAAGCAUCCCUA